CGCGGCCUAUCAGCUUGUUGGUGAGGUAACGGCUCGCCAAGGCAACGACGGGUAGCUGGUCUGAGAGGACGAUCAGCCACACUGGGACUGAGACACGGCCCAGACUCCUACGGGAGGCAGCAGCAGGGAAUAUUGCACAAUGGGCGAAAGCCUGAUGCAGCGACGCCGCGUGGGGGAUGAAGGCCUUCGGGUUGUAAACCCCUUUCAGGAGGGACGAAGCGAAAGUGACGGUACCUCCAGAAGAAGCCCCGGCCAACUACGUGCCAGCAGCCGCGGUAAUACGUAGGGGGCGAGCGUUGUCCGGAUUUAUUGGGCGUAAAGAGCUCGUAGGCGGCUCAACAAGUCGGCCGUGAAAGCCCGAGGCUUAACCUCGGGACGCCGGUCGAAACUGUUGUGGCUAGGGUCCGGUAGAGGAGAGUGGAAUUCCCGGUGUAGCGGUGAAAUGCGCAGAUAUCGGGAGGAACACCAGUAGCGAAGGCGGCUCUCUGGGCCGGCACCGACGCUGAGGAGCGAAAGCUAGGGGAGCAAACAGGAUUAGAUACCCUGGUAGUCCUAGCCGUAAACGAUGGGUACUAGGUGUGGCGGAUUCAUUGACAUCUGCCGUGCCGAAGCUAACGCAUUAAGUACCCCGCCUGGGGAGUACGG
rnacentral:rRNA from 1 species